UAUGCUCGAAUACAUUAGCAUGGAAUAAUAGAAUAGGACGGCGGUUCUAUUUUGUCGGUUUCUAGAGCCACCGUAAUGAUUAAUAGGGAUACUCGGGGGCAUUAAUACUCAAUUUUCAGAGGUGAAAUUCUUGGAUUUAUUGAAGACUAACUACCGCGAAUCAUUUGCCAAGGAUUUUUUUCACU
rnacentral:ncRNA from 1 species